GCGCAGCAGGCGCGAAACCUCCACAAUGCACGAAAGUGUGAUGGGGUUACCCUGAGUGCCAUCCGAUGAGGAUGGCUUUUCACCAGUGUAAGGCGCUGGUGGAAUAAGGGGAGGGCAAGGCUGGUGCCAGCCGCCGCGGUAAAACCAGCUCCUCGAGUGGUCGGGAUGAUUAUUGGGCCUAAAGCGUCCGUAGCCGGUCUGGUAAGUCCCCGGUUAAAUCCGGCAGCCUAACUGUCGGCCUGCUGGGGAUACUGCUAGACUUGGGGGUGGGAUAGGCUAAAAGGUACUCCCAGGGUAGGGGUGGAAAUCCGUAUAAUCCUGGGGGGACCACCAGUGGCGAAGGCGUUUAGCUGGAACACG
rnacentral:rRNA from 1 species